rnacentral:lncRNA from 1 species
CCGUAAUGAGCUGAGCAGCAUUACAGCUUGUUUCGCUUAAUAUUUAUUCUUAAAACAUGACUUCAUUUGUGAUGGCUAUACUUGGAGAUCCAGAUACAAGUCCAGCGUGUUUGCUGUAACAAGUUAAUGCGAUGAAAUAUGGAAAAACCUAUUUGCCUCUGUCUUCAAAAUUUGCACAAAGCUCCUUUCUGGUGAGGAUUGCGUUGCACUGAUCUCUACACAUUUUCCUGGCAUGCAGUGCUGUUUGGCCCUUUAUGGGAUGGGCACAAAGACCCUGUGUCUACCUUCCCAGUGGGCUGCAUAAGAGACCGGGCACAGUGGAGACACAUACAAAGGGUUUUCCCUUUAUCAAGAAGACCUGAAGCAAAGAGAGGGUGGUGAUCUGUCCAGGUAAGGAAGCUGCUCUUACCUUACAACUUUCGUGGUAUUGCUUGGCCCUUCUAGUCAUCAGAAACGCUCUUUGCUUAGGUAAGUUGUCCAGUUUCUCUUGGCCUCUUUUCUCAUGUAUAAAAUCAAGAAAUUUGACUUAUAUCCUGCAAAACUAUGAAAAACUCAUUUUAUUUUCCAGGUUUCACCUUAACACCGUAGUCAAUCAACUGGAUGUUUUUGUUCAAAGUCUUCAUCCAGCUAACUUUGACCUCAAUAGAGAAACAUGGGAGAUGACUGGCUGAAUAGUUUAUUUUUCCCACAAAUGCUUUAGCAUUAUAUAGACAUGGAUGUAGUGUGUCCUCAGGCAUCAUAAGGAACUGACAAUUUUUGGUUUUGAAAAAUGAACUAAACUUGUCCCGAUAAUUUUGCCUGGCACUGCAACUCAAUGAAUAAUUCAGCUAAUUUACACCACAGUCAUUUGUACAUUAUGAGUGUACACGCUUUGAAAGUAUUUCUGUACCUUUGUCAUAUUGCCUAUUAAAUGUGUUCUGAAAAUAGAUACCAUGUGUGAAUGUAAGUCCUUGUUUAAAGAGUAUGUGAAUUGACACCGUGGGACCUCGUGAACAAUCUUUGCCACUUCUACAGAUUAUUUUUAUAUGGCGAUGGCUAGGAAACAGACUCUCCUUUUUAAAGGUUUUGAGAACAAACUUCUCUCAAGUUGAAUAUAUAUGUCUGGACAAGAAUAAGUUUCUUGGUUCUACAGUACUGUUAAACUUUGUACUUAUGUCUUUAUAAUCUAUCAACUGUUUAAAAUUUUUAGGGUUAGUUUAAUAAACAUCCUUGAAGUGUUCACACUAGUUAAGGAAUUCUGUCAGCUGCUCCCUCCUGGGGGUGAGAGUGAGUGGGAGAAGGUGGUGGCAGAGAAAGGAGAGGCAUUGCUGACUCCAGCCCGGAGCUCAGGGUCCUGUUGAUUACUUUCUAUUUCUCUGUCCCAGGGCGUCUGACACAGAGAAAGUGCAUAAGAUGCAGGAAUGAAUCACUGAGUGCCUGGGCUUUCUUAUCAGAACCUGUACAAUUGGCACAAGUACAGAACUAGUUUCUCCUUGGACAUGUUGCCUACUAUGUACACACAUGUCAAAUAUUUUGUUCAAAAUGUUUUUUCUUUUCCAUGCUGUCAUUUAGUAUUGAAAAUUAACAUCUGUGUCAUAUUGUAGGUGACAUGUAACAUUUUUGUUUUGCAUCUAUAUUUUCUACAUUAUAUGUGAUUAUUUUGCAAUAAAAAUGUGAUUGACAUAUUCACCAAAAUUAUCCUGACAUCAACUAGCAAACAUGCCUGCUGAUAUGUGGCCCCAAUCUGUGUCAUGUUCUCCGUAGCCAGUAUCUACAGCAAGGUUUUCAUAGAGAUUUUCUAAGUUGCUUUUUUAUAGGCUGCUAUUUUUUCUGACUUUGAUCUUUAUUUAUUGGUACAAAUUGUCCCUGACUUACCAUGGCUGGACUUACAAUUUUUCAACUUUACUAAGAGUUUAUUGGAAGGUAACGCCAUCGUAAGUCAGGGAGCAUAUGUACCACAAUUGGUUCAGCUUACUAUUAUUUGACUCUACAAUGGCUUCAUUGAAGUAUUGAAUGCAUCUUUAACACACUUCAUUUUCUUCUUAUGGUGGGUUUAUGGGAUGUAACCCAUUCAGAAGUUGAGGAGCAUCCAUAUAUCUAAGGUGUUCUUACUCAUGGGAAUAUGCUCGUCACUGUGCAGCCCCUUCAUAGAGUUCCAACAAACUAUCCACAAUGCAAUUUUAAUACUGUUUUCAGAAUUAUUUUGUAUAUCUGGACAUAAGUCAAUUUUCACAGAAAGAACAUUUAGAUUAUCAUAAAUUGGGCCUUUUCGUAUUUAAUUUCAUACAGAAAACAUAAUGCAUUGCAAUAAACUUGCAUCUUAAAAUCACAAAAGGCCAUAUUCUCAACCCCCUUUUCUCUUUUAUUUAGGUCAGAUUCCUAUCAGUGUGGCUUAUGUAAUAAAAUCUGUUGUUGCCACAGUCCUAUGUCACUCUUUCCAAUAACCUACAGCCCAUCAGUCUCUCUGAGAAGGCUGCCCUGUAGCAAAUCAUUAAAUCCUUUCAAGAACCAAGAAAACAUGGAAAAUAAAUGCAAAAGGAGAAGAUAGCUUAACUCAGGCUGGUGUUUGCAUGAUCAUGGAAACUCAUGUUAUGUUGUUUGGAAUUUUGAACAGGGAAGUUGGAGGAUGGAAACGUGCAAUCCUCUUAGAUGGUGAAACUAACUUGUAUCAGGAAUUUAUACCAGGUGCGGCAUUGAACUGAGCUGGAUUUCCAUACAACAACCUGGGAAGUGAGCCUGCCAAGAGGAUGAACACCUAGAUAAUGGACCUACAGUUCACUCAGACUCAAAAUAAGGAUUUAGGCGAGUGUUGUGUUGCUACUAUUUGUUUUCAGUUACUCCCACAAAUGGACAGGUAACCACUCAGCUAGAGAUCCUAGGGUGGCUGAGAAGGACGAGGAAGGCACAAAAAUCCCUGUGGGGAUGGCCAAAAGAGUUUUCCCAUGGGCUCUUACACUGAGAACUUUACUCCUUUAUAGUCUGAACAGCAGACAGCUCAGAGGUCAAAGGAAACUGCCCCUUCUGUGGAAAGGACUCCAUGCAUGUGUCUUUGUGCCUCUUCCUGGUCCUUCAUCUCUGUCUGUGGGUACCUUUCUUUCCAUCACAAUCAUCCUCUGGAUCACAUACUACACAGGACUCAUAAGGGUGCAGAGGGUCAGGGAUGCUGGAAAUGUCACCCAACAGCAAGGUGAUAGAGUUCCGGACAGAAUUUGAAUGGUACUUUCUAUGGCUCAUGUCUCUCGGUUUUCUGCAGUCCUUGCUGAGUUUCUUAAUCCAGUGUCUGGAGACCUCCAAGGUCAAAUGCAUGCACAUUUAAAUUUAAAUUCUAGGUGUAAAUAAAGGUAAUUUCUAGAUUUGCUUCCAUCUUGAUUUUCCAUGUCAUAGUUCUAUUCAAUUAGCAUAAGUAACUCAGAGGUGACAGUCAUGUAGAGAAUGUACUGAUGGGUGAUUUUGAUUUUUGUUAUUUUCCUACAGUGUUAAAGACCUGGAAGCUUUUUAAUAAUAGUAAAAAGUGCGCAACCAAAAAUUAUUGUGUUUUUUUUUUUUGAGAAAUGAUGCCAUUAUUUCACAUGAAUGCUCUACUUAAAAAUAGAGGUAGAGAAUCCAGGGAAAAAAAGACCCAGGAAGGUAACCUUUAAUUUGAAAUUGGAUGCAUUGUGAUACUUGUGCUGUAAAAAUCUGAUGGUAUAUUAAUGUCCUCACAUAUAUUAUCUGAAAUUGUACCUUUCCGUUAUAAUGGCUGUUCCAAUAACAUAAUAGCCACUCACCUGUAAUUAUAAGUUUUCAAAGCCUGAAAUGAUUCCAGUUGUUUUCUCUGUACUUUUCAUGUACAAUGGCUUUGUG